rnacentral:tRNA from 1 species
AAAAUAGUAAGCUAAAAAAAUAAAGCUUAUGGGUUCAUACCCCAUCUAUGGAAAAAAAUCCCUAUUUUA